UGUUGUUGUUGUUUGUUGUUAUGUUAUCCACUGCCAUAAGAGGCAGCAGAACUAAAUUUUAUUGUGUGUAUGUGUGUACGUACAUCCAUAUGUAUGUAUGUGGCAUAGGGUUGUCGGCAGUCAGUUAUGGUUGCUGCACCUGUGCUCUUGGCUGGUUGUCUUCGCGCAUGCGUAGGAAUGCAAUGACGGAAAUAUGGCUAUGGCAAUAGCAAUAACAACAAAAACAACAAUGAGAACAAAUAGAAAGUAUAGCGAUAACGAGUUGUUGAGCGACUUUGGUUCAAAAUUAAAAAUGCAAAUUCACUGAGGGAGGGAUGUUUUUCGCCUCCUAACGAAGUUCGACUUUGUCUUCAUUACAGGUAAGCUUGUCACACUCAUUAGAUAUUUGACAGCUUCACUAUUUUAGUGCCAGCUUACAGCCAUAGUAGGAGCCACUAUCUUUGGGGGUUAUCAGCUGAUCUAAACGAGAAAAAAAUCCGGGUCAACACCUACGCGUAGAACUAGCUGUCGUGAGACUUUAAGAACUGCAUUCAGCACCGCUUAAAACAACCGCUGAACAGGGCGACAUACUUAAAGGCAUUCACCAAGAGUCCGUCAACACCUUCCUGAAUUCUCUUCCAUUGAAUGGCGUUCUCAGACUCUCAGGGUCAGGCCACCACCUAUUACAGACGUAGAUCUCUAGCUGCCUCUCGAAUUCCGCGUAAUACUGGCGCAACUUAGAUCUGUAUAUUGUAGUAGAUUAAAUUGCUACAUAAUCAAACUUGAUCCCGACAUACCCAACGUAUGUAUGCAUGUCCUGCAUGAAAUGAGUCCCCGUAAGACAUUAAUCAACUCAUUUAACCUCUCUUUCCCCGGGUCCGAACCCGUCAAAGCAGCUCGUUUCCUGAAUCUACCGUUAGAUGCCCGCAAUGACUUAGACAGAUCCAGUGUGCUCUUAAGCUGGGCUAGCGAACCAUUACAACAAUAACAACAACCUUUGGUAGUACACGGUCUUCAACUGAUUAAGACGUCAAAUAUUUCACGUUGCUACGAACUCCAAUCUUAUCGCAAUGGGUGCUAGGUGGAAACUGUUCGCAAAAGCAUAAUUGGGAUAAGCAGUGCUGGCCUAAGAGCGGCCUGCUAGAGGAUCUCAGUCUGGAGCCCCCGCACUUGUUUCUGAGCCUCGAAAAUUAUUCCGUUUCGCACAACCUCAACCGACAACAGGUAAACGCAGACUGACUUUGAGCUCUUUGUGUUGUGUCUCUUCUCAGUACAUCCGACGUCCAAAGCACCACUACCACGAGCACUAUAAGCACCAACAUGAAGAGCACUAGCACUGACGUUGUGGACAUACACGCGAUGUAGGAAUCAACGUCGUCUCAUUGUCAACGCUCGUGGCUUUGAGUAGCCGGCUUUAUGAUCAGUACUUUGGAUGUUUGCACUCCAAAACGGGUAAGAAAAGAAACCGGCUAAUACCUACCGCUAUGGUGUUCCCAGACGUGUUGUGAAGUUUUGUGCAUUGGUGAUGUUGGAAUUUGGCAGUAAAGUAAUCGGUUUUUAAUAUAUAACAAACCUGUACGGCACUCUGCGGUGAUACAUAUAGUUUUAAAACUGAUGCCAGACUUAAUUAAUUAAUUUUCGGAGGGCUAACAAUAAACUCAUCUCCUUACAGUGGUCCCUACUCUUCCAAAUAAUUUCAUGAAAAAUAACAAAACUAUGCAGUCAAUAAAGGAAUGAAAAAACUACUCCACCUGUUGUAGUCGAAGUACAAUCAACGUUACACAUUGGCCUCUGAAAGAAUUCUCGCAAGAGCGAAGAAGUCAAUCGAAACCCUGUGUGUGUUUCGUUACUGCUGUAAAUGUAUGCUUUCAAUUGAAGUCGAUCUCUUGGAAAUUUUCAUGAAUCCUGAAUAGAAUCUCGCAAUCAGAACUUGAAAUAUUGCUGAUGCGAUACUCAUUAGAGACAGUAAUCACAAAUACCGACUGGGACCCGAUAUACCCAACGAAUGCUCUGCAAGCAAUAAGGGCUAUGCACGACGCUAAACAACUAUUUGCAUGACAACCUAAAACCUACUCUUCUAACCUCCCUUUCCCACACAUACCGUUAGAUGGCAUCGAUGACCUAGAGGGGUUGGAGCAGCGCUACAAGAAAACCAACACAUUACAAAUACUCACAGCUUUAGCGAGAAGGAACAACUUACCCAGCUGGCAUAUAAAGACGGGCAGAACCGCUCGACGUGACAGCCGCUGCGGAUUUGGGGUGCAAGAAUUUGACAGUGGUAAGACAUGCCAUGCCUGUCGUAAGAAGCGAUUAAAAUCUAAUAAUGCAGUCGGGGGCUGUCACUACCGCAAUAUUUUCGAAAUUCAAUUCGGGGAAUAUUUUGCGGUUACAACAACGAACUAACGGCAAACCAUAAACGUUAUUCCCAGAAAGUUUGUUUACACCUUCAUUAACUCUUUGAAUGGUGACCCAAUCCAUUUGUUACGAAACUGCUAACAUCUAAUCUGCUUAGAUCGAGGCGUUAAACCAUUAACAUAUGUGGAAUAUUGGAACGCCCAUAAAAAUAUAUAAAAUUUAGAACAGAGAGUGCUGUCGCCCCUCUCCAGAAUACGACACAAGAAACAAAAAGCUCCUCACAAAAAUCUAUUAGAUUUUUGGAACCGGCUUCAAAUAAAUUGAAGUUCUCUUCACUCAUUCAAAAAUACACCAAGGCGCACAACGCAAGUUGUUAUAAAAUUAUACGAACAUACGUGUACAUAUUUAUAAUCGGAUAUUGAAAUCUUUUAAUAUAUUGAAAAAAGAACAUGCCUUUAACUCGCCUUGCAUUCUGACUCAUUAUAGAUCUAAGUGAUUUCAUUAAAACUAUUAAAGCUAUACAAUUGAAUAGGCAUGAAAUAAUUUAUGCAUACAAAAACGGACGUCAGCUGG